AGUGAACGCUGGCGGUAGGCCUAACACAUGCAAGUCGAACGGCAGCACAGGAGAGCUUGCUCUCUGGGUGGCGAGUGGCGGACGGGUGAGGAAUACACCGGAAUCUACUUUUUCGUGGGGGAUAACGUAGGGAAACUUACGCUAAUACCGCAUACGACCUACGGGUGAAAGCAGGGGAUCUUCGGACCUUGCGCGAUUGAAUGAGCCGAUGUCGGAUUAGCUAGUUGGCGGGGUAAAGCCCCACCAAGGCGACGGUCCGUAGCUGGUCUGAGAGGAUGAUCAGCCACACUGGAACUGAGACACGCUGCAGACUCCUACGGGAGGCAGCAGUGGGGAAUAUUGGACAAUGGGCGCAAGCCUGAUCCAGACAUACCGCGUGGGUGAAGAAGGCCUUCGGGUUGUAAAGCCCUUUUGUUGGGAAAGAAAUCCAGCUGGUUAAUACCCGGUUGGGAUGACGGUACCCAAAGAAUAAGCACCGGCUAACUUCGUGCCAGCCGCCGCGGUAA
rnacentral:rRNA from 1 species